UACGUAGGGCGCAAGCGUUAUCCGGAAUUAUUGGGCGUAAAGAGCUCGUAGGCGGUUUGUCGCGUCUGCCGUGAAAGUCCGGGGCUCAACUCCGGAUCUGCGGUGGGUACGGGCAGACUAGAGUGAUGUAGGGGAGACUGGAAUUCCUGGUGUAACGGUGAAAUGACGCAGAUAUCAGGAGGAACACCGAUGGCGAAGGCAGGUCUCUGGGCAUUAACUGACGCUGAGGAGCGAAAGCAUGGGGAGCGAACAGG
rnacentral:rRNA from 1 species